GGCAAAAACUCAAAGUGAAGUAGUUUAGUAGGGUCAGGUGAUCCUUCUAAUCUACUCUUCUUCAAGUUUGUGCCC
rfam:Haemonchus placei strain MHpl1 genome assembly, scaffold: HPLM_scaffold0002386